CGGGUUAUUGGUUAAUUGGUGGGGAGGGGAUGAAUGGGGUCUGUCUUUAUGUAAAUACAGUAAAUUUAUGAUUAUUAGAACUGAUUAUUGUAAUGUUAUGUAAGAGGACAGGUACCCCGGCCGGUCCUACCCAUAAGUAAAUAAUGUUAUGUAAGAGGACAGGUACCCCGGCCGGUCCUACCCAUAAGUAAAUAAUCCAUCAGUGUUAAACUACAGUUUACUUUAUUGAUGUUCAGUUUCCAUGUCGCAAUAUCUGUAGUAAUUUUGUCAGAAGUAGAGUUCCUGUUUUGACUUUAUCAAGCCUUUCUGUAGAUUGUUUCUGAACAGUAUUAUACUUAUAUCAAGUUCUUUGUGACAAAGCUUGUCUGUGUGAUAUGGUACAUGUAUAAACCAGACCCCAGGAUUAUGUCCGGGACUCAAAUGUCAUAUUUUCUAUAUCAUGAAUAUAACAAAUCUCUUAAAAAUCUAUGUAUCUAUGUCAAUAUUUGGAUAAUUCCAUGCGAUGUCAGUAUAUCGAUUUGGUUGUUAUUGUGUUGCCAGGUACACAUACAUGUAUAUACGAGUCUGGGGGAUGUGUAGAGUUAACCACCAAUUAGUUCUCACCUCUCAUCAUGUCUGGAAUGAAUUUUUAUAUGUAUUAUAAUAAAUGUCAAAAUUAGAAACAAUUGUGAAUGUUCCCAAUUUUCAUACAUUUGUAGAAACAAGAAUGUUACCAUAGAUAUAGAAUCCUUUCACAUUUACUAAAAAAAGUAACACUAAUUACUAUACAGGAGCCAGAGAACAGUACCAAAAGGUGAGGUCUUAAGAUUAUUAUUGGGCAUUUCCCUAUUAUUACUGGAACUUAUAAACACUUAGAUCUCGUCUUUUUUAUGAAAAAAUUAAGUAUUGCUUAUUUUCAUGCUAAUUAUGAUCAAUUUUGUUUUGUAUUUGUAUUUUGUCAGAAAAUCAUAUCAUUAUACAUUUAAAUUCAUUACCGUAUCUACUGGUACUGAUUAUUGAAAAUUAAAAUAAUAUGACUGUACAUGUAUAUUCAGUUAUUACUUUCGAUGAAAAACAACCAUAGCACAAUUAUGAUUUAUGAAAUACAGUGUACAUGUAUCUGAAUAGAGUCCUUUGUUUAAAGGCGACUUCAUUACCAGGUAUGUGUCAAAAGUGCAUUGAUUAUUAUAACCGCCUUUUGUCAGUCGUCAACGUGCGUCCAUAAGCAGUUUACAUUUUCGACUUCUUCUCAAUAA